UUUUGUGCUUGUUUCAGGAUAUUGACGAGUAUAUCUGCCAAGCGAAGGACAAAAGCUAUGACACACUGGUGCAUUUUGGGAGAAAAGGGCUGAAUGUUGCAGCCACAGCUGCAGUCAUGGCAGCAACAAAGAGCCAAGGGGUCCUGUCAGACAGACUGAGGAGUUUCAGCAUGCAGGAUCUGGCUUCCUAUCAGGAAGAGCCUGUUAACACAGCUCCCGGCACCAAGCAGCCUGCAGCAGCAGCAGCAGCAGCAGCAGCAGGACAGCAUCGGACCAGAUCUAUGAUGCGCAGCAAGUCAGAGAGCUACAACAAGGCCACCUCUUAGAGUCUUAAGGCCUCUCACGAGAUCCUGGAGUGCUCUUUCCUCGAACAAUGAAGCCAUGUGAAACUGUCCUAAAGACUCCUCCAGCUGCCUUUGCUGCAAGACAUGAAAAUACUGAAUGGCCAAAAGCUACAUGACUGAAGCAGCCUUGCUUUGGGAUAAGGUAUUACCAAAGUGACCUAUCAUGACCCCUCUAUAUUAAAUAUAAAGCUUGUCUCUCAUGAUUUGAUUUGUGACACUGAGAUAAAACAAUGAGUGAAUGGGCUCCAUGCUGAUAGACAUUUUGAGUUUGUGGGUUAAUGAGUAUGUCUUUUCUGUACAGUUUGUGUGUACUCCAUCUUUCUGAUUGGAUUGUUUUUAUAUAUCAGGUGUGGGUAGGCAUUUGCAUGUGUGUCUUCCCAGUCAUUAGUCCUCUGUUUAUAAAACAGAAUGUACUGUCACUGAAAACUACAGCUGGCAUUGAGAGUGACAUGGUCACUGUUAGAGAAUGUGUUGAAUGCCAAGGAUCAAAAGAAAAGGUGGCUGUGUUUAACAGCUGCUAAGCCAAUUACUGCACUAAUUGAUUAUUGGGAUUGAGAAAUCAGUCAAUGGCUCAAAAACAUGUUCAGCGAUAUGACGACCUGUGACAAAAGGUUAAACAUUAGACAGUAGCGACGGAAGAGAUUCUGUUGUUUAACUCUCUAUUGAAGCCUUAAAAAAAAGUUUAAAUGUGUCCACGUGUGAAAUAGAUAUCUCUAACACCGCUUAGUGCAAAGUAAUUUUUGCACUAUGUUUAGAAUCUUUUGCUGUAUGACUGCCCUCAGUUACAUGACUCUGAAAUGGCCAAAACAAUCACAUCACAUAAAACACUAAUCAUAGAAAACUAGUAGCUGAAUUUGAUCAAAAAUGUAUGAUUUCUUCUGUGGUAAAGAAUAUUGACUUCUGAGACUGCUAAGUAAUUGCACUCUAUCACAGGUACAGUAAAUAGAGUCACUACUACAAGAGGUUUUCUCAAUGGAGCCGACUGUUUUUGACAAUCUAUUGUUGAGUUUGUACGCACGCUUCGUCAUUCUAAUGACACUUUGCUGGCAUUUAAAGGCCAAUUUAGAAAAAAAAGUCACUUUGAGCUGUAGCAGAGAGAGAAUAUAACAUGUGCA